AUUGAACGCUGGCGGCAUGCCUAACACAUGCAAGUCGAACGGCAGCACAGAGGAGCUUGCUCCUUGGGUGGCGAGUGGCGGACGGGUGAGUAAUGCAUCGGGAUCUACCCUGACGUGGGGGAUAACCUCGGGAAACCGGGACUAAUACCGCAUACGUCCUACGGGAGAAAGCGGGGGACCUUCGGGCCUCGCGCGGCAGGACGAACCGAUGUGCGAUUAGCUAGUUGGCGGGGUAAUGGCCCACCAAGGCGACGAUCGCUAGCUGGUCUGAGAGGAUGAUCAGCCACACUGGGACUGAGACACGGCCCAGACUCCUACGGGAGGCAGCAGUGGGGAAUAUUGGACAAUGGGCGCAAGCCUGAUCCAGCAAUGCCGCGUGUGUGAAGAAGGCCUUCGGGUUGUAAAGCACUUUUAUCAGGAGCGAAAUCUGCAUGCUUAAUACGUGUGCAGU
rnacentral:rRNA from 1 species